AUCUCCAAGUUUCCUCUGCCACGCGCGGUGGAGGAGAGCCACACCCCUGCGCUCGCCGAGCGGCUCCCAUGGCGCACUCCUCCCUGCUCCUCGUUUCUGCUCGCCGGCUCCUCCUCCCGCGCCUGGCCCCAAUGCCUCUCUCUCUCCCCUAGCGCGUCCUCUUCCCCAGUUUCUCUCCCCUUUGCUUGGAUUCCAGUGCCGGCCGCGAGCCCUAUGGCGUGCGCCCCAUCUUCCUCGCCGAGCUUCUCUUGCGCGCCGUCCCUGCUCGGCCAUGGCCGCCGGCCAAGCUCUCUCUUGCCAAGCCUCCCUGCCGAGCCGCUCGCUGCGCUGUGUCGAGAUUUCCCCAGCCGCGCUCUCCUCUGCGCUGCUCUCUCUCUCCCGGCGCUCCCUCCCUGCUCUCCUCUGCUCCGGCGCCUGGCCAAGCUCCCCAUGGUGGCGUCCUGCUGGCCAGCGCUUGCCGGACUCGCACAGCCCCUACGUGCUCAUCUCUGGAGCUUGCCCGGAGCUCUACGUGCCCAGGAUUUUCCUGCUCGGACCGCGCCUCUGCUUGUCUUCCACUUCGCCGGAUCCCCUACUCGUUUCCAUAGCGCGUCCCUGGCUCCCUUCCUGCUUCAGCUCGGACCGCGCCCAGCCGAACGGCUCCUCCAGCGCGCGCUCUGCCUCUCCCUCAGCCCGCCGCGUCCUGCUGGUUCUCUGCUCGCCCUUGGAAGCCGCGCCCUGGCCAUGUUUCCUGCGCGCGCAUCUGCUCUAGCUCGCAAAGCUUUCUGCUAGCCUCUACGCAGCGUCCAGCUCUCUUCCGCUCCCAGCUCGCCGGUGCUUCUCCUUGCACGCCGAGCUCGCCCCUGCCCUCAGCUAUGGCGUCCGGCCACCGCUGCCCUUCUCUGGUGCUCUCCCAUGGUGCCGAUCUGUCUGUCCUGCCGUCGCUCAGCUCGUGCGCGCCCUGUGUAUUUUUCCUGCUCAGCUUACUCCCUCGCUGGUGGCCGAACAGCUCACUCAUGGUGCCCAGCUCACGUCCAC
rnacentral:misc_RNA from 1 species